rfam:Camelus ferus unplaced genomic scaffold scaffold1127, whole genome shotgun sequence.
GAGGGUAUAGCUCAGUGGUAGAGCAUGUGCUUAUCUUGCACGAGGUCCAGGGUUCAAUCCCCAGUACUUCCA